UGAGUGCGAGCGGCUACGGCCGCGAAGUGGGUGAUGUCAAGCUUCCAAGAAAAGCCCUAUACCCGUUAAGGCAUGAUGGCCUGUACCCGAAACCGACACAGGUGGGGUGGUAGAGAAUACCGAGGGGCGCGAGGUAACUCUCUCUAAGGAACUCGGCAAAAUGGCCCCGUAACUUCGGGAGAAGGGGUGCCACCGCAAGGUGGUCGCAGUGAAGAGGCCCAGGCGACUGUUUACCAAAAACACAGGUCUCCGCUAAGUCGCAAGACGAUGUAUGGGGGCUGACGCCUGCCCAGUGCCGGAAGGUUAAGGAAGCUGGUCAGCGCAAGCGAAGCUGGCGACUGAAGCCCCGGUGAACGGCGGCCGUAACUAUAACGGUCCUAAGGUAGCGAAAUUCCUUGUCGGGUAAGUUCCGACCCGCACGAAAGGCGUAACGAUCUGGGCGCUGUCUCGGAGAGAGGCUCGGCGAAAUAGAAUUGUCUGUGAAGAUGCGGACUACGUGCACCCGGACAGAAAGACCCUAUGAAGCUUUACUGUAGCUUGGUAUUGUGCCCGGGCUCUGAAUGCGCAGGAUAGGUGGGAGGCUUUGAUCCAUGGCUUGCGGGUCAUGGUGAGCCAACGGUGAGAUACCACUCUUUCAGAGCUAGGGUUCUAACGGUCACCCGUCAUCCGGGGACCGGACAGUAUCAGGUGGGCGGUUUGACUGGGGCGGUCGCCUCCUAAAAGGUAACGGAGGCGCGCAAAGGUUUGCUCAGGCUGGUUGGAAAUCAGCCGACGAGUGCAAAAGCAGAAGCAAGCUUGACUGUGAGACCUACAAGUCGAACAGGGACGAAAGUCGGCUUUAGUGAUCCGACGGUUCUGAGUGGAAGGGCCGUCGCUCAACGGAUAAAAGUUACUCUAGGGAUAACAGGCUGAUCUCCCCCAAGAGUUCACAUCGACGGGGAGGUUUGGCACCUCGAUGUCGGCUCAUCGCAACCUGGGGCUGAAGUCGGUCCCAAGGGUUGGGCUGUUCGCCCAUUAAAGCGGUACGCGAGCUGGGUUCAGAACGUCGUGAGACAGUUCGGUCCAUAUCCGGUGCACGCGCAGGAGCAUUGAGAGGAUUUCUCCCUAGUACGAGAGGACCGGGAGGAACGCACCUCUGGUGUGCCAGUUAUCGUGCCAACGGUAAACGCUGGGUAGCCAUGUGCGGAGUGGAUAACCGCUGAAAGCAUCUAAGUGGGAAGCCCACCUCAAGAUGAGUGUUCCCAUGGCAUAAGCCAGUAAGGUCACGGGAAGAACACCCGUUGAUAGGCUCUACGUGGAAGCCGGGUAACCGGUGAAGCGGAGGAGUACUAAUAGACCGAGGGCUUG
rnacentral:rRNA from 1 species